UACAGAGGGUGCAAGCGUUAAUCGGAAUUACUGGGCGUAAAGCGUGCGUAGACGGUAGCGUAAGUCGGGUGUGAAAGCCCCGGGCUCAACCUGGGAAUUGCAUUCGAGACUGCUCUGCUAGGGUGCGGAAGAGGGAAGCGGAAUUUCCGGUGUAGCGGUGAAAUGCGUAGAUAUCGGAAGGAACACCAGUGGCGAAAGCGGCUCCUGGUCCAGCACCGACGUUCAGGCACGAAAGCGUGGGG
rnacentral:rRNA from 1 species